rnacentral:rRNA from 1 species
AAUGAACGCUGGCGGCGUGCCUAACACAUGCAAGUCGAGCGAGAAACCCCGCUUCGGCGGGAGAGUAAAGCGGCGCACGGGUGAGUAACGCGUGGGUAAUCUACCCUUAGGUCUGGGAUAACACCCCGAAAGGAGUGCUAAUACCGGAUAUGACCGCAGCUAUUUCUGUGGCAGCGGUAAAAGGUGGCCUCUCCAUGGAAGCUAUCGCUUGAGGAUGAGCCCGCGUCCUAUCAGCUUGUUGGUAGGGUAAUGGCCUACCAAGGCUAAGACGGGUAGCUGGUCUGAGAGGACGACCAGCCACACUGGGACUGAGAUACGGCCCAGACUCCUACGGGUGGCUG